rnacentral:rRNA from 1 species
GUUGUUCGGAUUCACUGGGCGUAAAGGGUGCGUAGGCGGUUUGACAAGUCUGAUGUGAAAUCCCGCAGCUUAACUGCGGAACUGCAUUGGAAACUGUUUGACUAGAGGAAUGGAGGGGAGACUGGAAUACUUGGUGUAGCAGUGAAAUGCGUAGAUAUCAAGUGGAACACCAGUGGCGAAGGCGAGUCUCUGGACAUUUCCUGACGCUGAGGCACGAAAGCCAGGGGAGCAAACGGG